AACAAAGAAAACAAGAUGGCAUAGAAGCCCUUCCCCAAAAUGGUGGCCUCCAUAGAAGACCGUGUGGUCCAGGGGACAAAGGCAAAAUAGCAGAUCUCCCAGCCAUGUGGUGGAGACAGAGUUAAAAAUAUGACACAGCCGCCAAACUUCCACAAUAACAAAACUCCCUCUUCCUCCAAACAACAACCAGUAGGGGACAAGUACAAAAGCAAAGGAAACCUGGAGGCCAAACCCAGUCCAGGGCUACUGAGAUGUUGGCUCCACACCACCGGGCAGGGCCUCUCCCAGUGGCGGCAGCUCUGAACCUGCAGUGUCAAUUUCUCAGCUACUUUUUUGGCCCACUGGACCCAGCUGGUGUCGUGCUGCAGGCCUGAACCAUUACCACAUUUAGGGGCAAGGUUCCUUGAUGCUGUAAAAAACGCAAGCUAUCACACAGUGCAUUGGAGAAUAUGCUUUUACUUACAAUAUUGAAAGUUGAAAGAAAAGAUAUGAACACCACGUGAAGAAAUUAUCAGCACAUUCCAUAUUGCCAUGGUUUAACCCCGGAGAGCAAGUCCCACGCACGGUCUCUGGAAGUUGCUGCAGUCAAUUCGCACACAGCCAUUUGUCCUCCAGAGCUGAGCACACGUCUGGGAUUUGGCACCCUCUGUGUGGAGUUGGCAGAUGGUUGGCAGCCCUGUGGAAUCCUCAAGCCUCUGAAAGAGGGGUCAGCUCACCUCCCACCUACUUCUGCCAUUUGAGCCCUCUGAGGGACACAGAGGGCCCAUCUAUUCAUCUCUGUGCCUCUUCUGAUGAAACUGUCUACCCUGAAAAUUGCAGGAGUCACAGACACAGAAGAUCAAAGAAAGGAGCAUGUGGCACAGUUAAUGAAAAAUACAUCUGGCUAAAGGAUCGGGAGCGUGGAUACUGCUCCCUGCUACAAAAGUAUUUCAGAAGAUCUUUUUUUUCACCUGAAAUGUAAAGGCAUUCCUUGAACUAGGAGCCAAACCCUGGGCAUUCUGGUAGCAAUUUCCAGCCACUAAGCUACCAAAGCCAUUUUGUUUAUGUUUGCUAUCCUUUGGUCUCUCGUGUUUAAGAAAUAGAAGGAACAUCUUUAUCAUUUGAAAGUUAGAAAAUGGAAGCUUUUUCUUGGCAUUCUUUGAUUAUUUUUCUGGCAUGAACCUGCCACCUAGCAGGCCCCUCUAACAGAAGUGCAAACAGCAAUAGUCUCAGCAAGUCGAACAGCCACAAGAAUGUUGAGAAAUGUGUUUGCUCUGCAUCUGUGGGAAUUCAAGAAACUACUUAGGAAAAAACAAAAAUUGAAAAUGUUCAGAAUUUCAGAAUUGCUCACAUUUCAUAGAGUUCUUUUCUUUAGUUUAAAAUUACUUUUAGAUAUAUUUAUUUACUCUUUUUCUCCCUUUAACAGAAGUAGCAAUAGCAAACCUUCAGCAAAUAAUAAUCAAUAUACUUUAACAAAAAAAGGCAAUGGUGUGCAGAUCUGCAAUGUAUGAUUUCUAUUUGUAAUAUAUUUAUGGCAUAUAAUAGGUUAAAAAAAGAUUAAUGUAUUUCAGACAUAUGAAGAAGUUUAAUUUUUCAUUGUCCUUUUCCACAAAUCUGUAAUGUCAUACUGAAUGAUUGUGUAUUUCAGGGUAGAAAUUUGACCUAUGAUAAUAUGAAUAGAAACAUAAAGAAACAUCAGAGAGAAAUCAACAAGUUUGUUGAGAAAUCAACAAGUUUAGAUUGCCCAUCUAUAACAUGCCAAUAGAGACAAUCCACAUAAAACUUUUUCUUAAAAUUACCAAUCUGGCAUUUUAAAAAGUGAAUAUUUGUAUGUGUACAAAGGGGAAACAAAAGCACCAAAUGUCUGGCUACUUUAUCAGAAUAGCACUUUACAUCUUUUAAGAAGCUAUCAGGCUAUUACCUAUGACUAAUAUAUCAAGUUUCAAUGCAGCUUUUAUUCAAAAUUUAGUAGAGGUAAUAGCAACAUAUAAUCUACCCUCUGGAUCUUAUAAUUAAAAGGACAAGAGCCUGAGAGUCAUAAGAAGGGAACGUAAAGUUAAUUACUUGCUUAUGUGCAGAAUAAGAAGUCUAUAAUCUUAAGUAGUAGCCAAUUUAUAGGUUUGAAUUCCUGAACACUAAUGUAUUAGGAGAAUCAUUUCUACUUCUGAUAAUUUCUUCAUAUAAUUAUGAUUAGACUCUUAGCUGUAGUUUAAUUUACUAUGCCACUUCCCAACACGCCUCUUUUUCUAUGGUUUUGUUUACCAGAGCAAAGAUUUCAGGCAAUAAUAUUGUCUAAAAGCUUACAGUAAAUCUAAACAGUAAAUAUGUUUUACAGUCAGUUGUAGCAGAAAAUAAAAAGUAACAGUACUACAUAUUUCCUAGUAGAUAUAAAAUCCAGUGGGGGUAAAAUAUAUUCUGAAAUAUUACCUUUACUCUGUCAACUUUAUGGGUAAAAUUAAGGUUGAAUUUAAAAAUUCUGUUUUCUCCAGAAGUAAUUUUCAGCUAAAGUUUAGUGUCUAUAGCAAUUUUCCAGAAUUUCCAAGUUUUCUUUUCAGUGUCAAUUCCUCUGGGAGAUUAAGAGUCAAGAGGUAUAAUGCUGUAGAUGCACAACCAGAAGACUUUUCCAAAUUGCUCUUGGGGAUUUUUUAUUUCCUACUAUACAUCACAGACAACACUGCUUCUUUCCUAUUAAAAAUGAGAACUAGAGGGAUGAAGAUGUAUUUGAAAAAAUAUUUCAGGGUUAAAGCAACAACACAAAGUGAUUGU